rnacentral:rRNA from 1 species
GACGAACGCUGGCGGCGUGCUUAACACAUGCAAGUCGAACGGUAAGGCCCUUCGGGGUACACGAGUGGCGAACGGGUGAGUAACACGUGGGUGAUCUGCCCUGCACUUUGGGAUAAGCCUGGGAAACUGGGUCUAAUACCGGAUAGGACCACGGCCUGCAUGGGUUGUGGUGGAAAGCUUUUGCGGUGUGGGAUGGGCCCGCGGCCUAUCAGCUUGUUGGUGGGGUGAUGGCCUACCAAGGCGACGACGGGUAGCCGGCCUGAGAGGGUGGCCGGCCACACUGGGAAUGGGAUACGGCCCAGACUCCUACGGGAGGCAGGAGUGGGGAAUAUUGCACAAUGGGCGCAAGCCUGAUGCAGCGACGCCGCGUGGGGGAUGACGGCCUUCGGGUUGUAAACCUCUUUCACCAGGGACGAAGCGCAAGUGACGGUACCUGGAGAAGAAGCACCGGCCAACUACGUGCCAGCCGCCGCUGUAAAAC